GGCUUACCAUGUUGGGUUAGGUCUGUUUAGGCUUACCAUGUUGGAGUAGGUCUGUUUGGGCUUACCAUGUUGGAGUAGGUCUGUUUGGGCUUACCAUGUUGGAGUAGGUCUGUUUGGGCUUACCAUGUUGGAGUAGGUCUGUUGAGGCUU